GAUAAUUAUGUUAUUGCUUUCGUCUCUAUUACCACUCACGCCUCUCUCUCUUCUUCUUCUUCCCAGAUCUACACCAUUUGGUUGCUCUGCCCAACCUAAUUAUACCUAAACACACACCGCCUUCCAUUUCUUUAUAUCAUAGGAAUUGAGUUGAGUUAAUUCAUUUAUGUUGUGUUCGUCUUCAUCCAGAACAAGUUCGAAUUGAAUUGGAUUGAGUUAAUUGGAUGUCGAUCGAUAUCUGCGCGAAGAUGAUGAUCGGAUUAAUUGGGGAUAUGGAUUGCCGGUCCAGCGCUGAGUUCAGAAGCCAAGAGGCCUAUGAUUUGCUUCUUUGCCAUGGCUGAUAUUCCAACUCAAUUGGAUUCAAUUGGAUUGAAUUCAUUCUGUUUUGAGCUAAUAUCAAUGGAGAUGUAGUCCACUAUCAGAUUGAUGCGCCAUGGAUGAUAAUUGAACAAAUUCGGAUUGAAUUGAAUUGGAUUGAGUUAAUUGGAUGUCGAUCGAUAUCUGCGCGAAGAUGAUGAUCGGAUUUAUUGGUGAUAUGGAUUGCCGGUCCAGCACUGAGUUCAGAAGCCAAGAGGCCUAAGAUUUGCUCCUUUGCCAUGGCUGAUAUUCCAACUCAAUUGGAUUGAACUCAUUCUGUUCCGAGCUAAUAUCAAUGGAGAUGUAGUCCACUAUCAGAUUGAUGCGCCCUGGAUGAUAAUCUGUAGCAAGGUUGGCUGGAUUUUCCCCAAUUCGUCCGAUCACAUUUCUCUGAUUUUCUGCUGAGCUUGCUUUUUGGAGCCAUUUUUCGCACUGUAGGUAAACAUAGAAAUCUUUUUAGUAUUCAUGCUUUAACAUCCUUGGUUCAUGGAAACACAUGUUAUUUUGGAUUCUAUAUUUUGUUUAGGGCUAAAUUAGUUGAGACCUACACCUGAUAUUUAUGUUAGAUGCAAUAAGUAGAAUUCGAACCAAUAAGUAGAACAAUUUUCAAUUCAAGUAGUUGGGUUAGAAUGUAGGAGUGUCAAAUCAGCUAUUAGGACUGCAAUUUAGUAUUUUGAUCUCAUUUGUGCUUGUAGUUAUUUUUUAAUAAAAGAAAAAAUUAAAUACUCCCA